GAUUGGCAGAAACUCUUGAAGCAACGACAUAACAAUGACAGUCAUUCGUGGAAGAGGUCACCGUUACACUUCUUCUUCCUACCCGUAAGUACAGCUUCUCGACAAUUUGUUGAAGCUCACCAGACUCACAGACCGUCACAAAACGCCAUAAUUGUCGUAGAGCGUUAUUUACCAGGCUUACACAAUCCACAUCGUCCGCUCAGUCGAUACCAACGCUCGAAUGUGAUUUACUGCGUCACCUAAUGGAUCGACCGGUAACAAUUAAGCAACAUAAGAUUUCGUCACAGCUUUGCCUUCGCUCGGAUUCCCCGAGUAGAAUUUAUCUUCAGGAGCACUGCAGUAAAGUCAAGACCAAACGAAUCCAAGUGGAAUCCAGGCUCUACGCGAUGCACUUGGACUCUUCAUCUUCCCACGAUCACGAUCGCGAAAUCUUUUGGCUCUCGAUCACGCAAGCAAAGAUUCUCGAUCGCCGAGCGACUGGCGUGCCAAAUCACAGGGAUCCCUUACCACUCGUACGCUUCUCAUCUUGGAUGCUGGGAUCCAUCUGGCCACCCUGCUGGAAGUGGCUGUUCCAAGAAAAAGACAGAGAUGAGAUGCUAUUAAGUACCAGAAGGCGGUAGCCAGACUCCUCAGUGGCAUUGAGCAAGUUCAAAAUAACGGUUUGUGGAAUUAGUCCAAAUCUUCCGGCGAUUAAAGAUAGCUGGGUUAACAUAUGGACGGAUCGAGUGUGUAUAUGUAUAUAUACCCUGGAGCAAACGGUGAUUGGUCAUUGUUUACAGGUUACAUUGACCAGACGCCAAAUUCCUUGCAUUGUCCACGUUUUAUCAGCAGAAAAAUAUACUUCAAGAUCUGCCAUAGGAGAUGAAAACAAGUAUCGAGUAACAAAUGAUUUAGGUUAUUAAAAAAGAGAAUUUGACAGAGAAGCCUUAUUUAAGCAUGGCACAUUCUUCGACCGGACGAUUCGCUUAUCCUGCGGUAGAUAGAAAAGAAAUGCGAGACGUGGCGUGUCGUAAGACAACCGAUUCACCUUUCAUCUUUGUGCAUGAGCACGAGUAUUCACGUGUCGAGGACGCGUGUACUAUCGGAUGAGGUCAUUGCCACCGAUGCGAAUGCUCACUAAGCUACUACGCCUCAAAGAAACGAUCAUUGUUAUUCCGUUGUCAGAGCGAACUGGCUCCCUUGUUUGCCAUCGCAACAAGAUUAGCAUGUUAGCCAACUUGAACUGGCUUUGAAAAUAGGACAGGGAUAUGAAGAGUCCGUACGAGGAAAAGACAGAGAAAAGAAAAAGAGGAAAUACUAGGAACGUUAAAGCGAACGCACUCAUAGUUAUCUAGGUAUGAAAGUUACUCGAGCCACAUAGAUUUCGUAUCUCCCGCUGACAACUGGCGACACGAAGCACCGCAACGCCCACGCGGCGGGCGCGCGUACUAAAAAGGUAUCUGCAUGUAAUCUCGUACCAAGGUUAAAUCAUAACGCGUUCGUAAGGUUCGCAGAAUCGAAGACAAUGCAAGGCGUGGUGAGUUCAUGCGCCAGCCAUUUUCGUUUACCCUCUUUAAAAUGGUUGUUGGACUGCAGGCAGGUCAGCCAUGAGGUACGGUGAAUGUUUUUAACGGUCGGGUGAAGUAUUGUUCGUGCCUCGACGCUGUAUUUGGAAAUACGGCGUUGUGUCAAAGGUUAAAGAAUACAGUUGUACGUGGGAUAUUAACAGCUUGGCGGAUCACGAUGCAAAUUAUGAGAUGAAACUGCCCUUAAAAAAUUGCAUCGUAAAAAUGACUUGUCAUUCGAUACUGUUUACGGAACACAAUAUACCUGGAGAAAUGUGCACUGCGAUGAUGCAGGUUAUACAUAGAUUGUGUGUUAUUCGUUCGUAAGGUUCUUCAUUAGUGUAUAAAGUGACACGACAGCUGGGCGACCUUCGUUAAGGACCGAAGGAUCUCCCGUUUCAUUUUAUUUUUUCAUUCCAUGUUCGUCGUCCGCUAUCAAUUUUAAUAUUCAUAACGGAUAAGGUCGUCUAUGCAAAUUAGAAGGAUCGUGAGGCGAAGUGAAAUUAAUUGAAUUUCUCCUGCAAUCUAUAAUAGGUUCAGGUUUGAUAUUUAUACAGAUGAAUAUUGAUUGGUAGAUAGUCAAUUUAAUAAAAUUCUUAUAUUAAUAACAGAAAUUCCAUUGCGAAUAUUUUUAGGUUUAGGUUUAAAAGGUUUCGAGGAUCGGCUUGUAUGUACCCAGGAUAAUAAUACGUAGCGACGGCCCAAUGAACAUGUGCAUAUACCUGUCAACAGUUCAUCCGCCCACGAUCCAUUAUAAGCAUAACGAUUCCGAUGAUCAAGAUUCUGAGAGCUGACAGACAUCUCAUGAUUAAACCAGAUUAUAUACUAAAAAAAAUUACUACAAGCCACGGAGCGGCCAUUUUGACUUUUCAAGCCAGCUAAUGAAAAUAAAAACGAUAUGCGUUCCAGAUAAUCCUUAACGCGAUAAAGAGACGUUGAAGGCUUGUCGGCGAAUCAGACACAAAGGACUUGAACGUACAGCGGAAUUUUCAAAUAAGGAAAGGAUCGUUAGGCAAGACUAUCAAGGGCCGGUUGUUGCAAAGUCCAAGCAUAUAAAAAAUGGUAGGAUGAUAAUGAUGUCAAAGAUAAAAAAAGUUAAGGACAGCAAAGGGGUAGAAUGAAUCGAUCCUCCCUUGUACGUCGAAGCGUGGGACACUUGCAAGAGAAAUAAUUUUAGAAGGAAAACGAUCGUCCGUAUACCGAAUCAUUGUAAAAAUCGAAAACGAUCGGAAUUGCAGUCGAUAAACGUUACUUUGUCAGCUGUUUCGAAGCUUCUCUAUACUUAUACGGUGUAAAUAUGAUAUCAGUAAAGCAUUCUCUAUAUGGUAUCGAUUGAUUGAGGUUGCAUCUCUAUAUCUGGAGCAGCGAACGGCAGUAAUGGCUGACUCGUCAGUAGCCCUUUGACAGACUUAUUAGCAAAUAUAAAUCCGAGCGUGCCGUUACCGUAGUCAGCCAUUUGGUUUUUGUACCGAAGAUACUCAAAGGAGUGCGAGCACGAAAUACGUUGGAUUUCCAAGGACAGAUUUUAAUUAGUACUUAAACAAUACUUUUAAUGACGUAUCACCAUUUUUAUUUUAUUUAUAGUUAUAUCAAAAUAAAAUGACAGUCAUUUUCUAUAAGGGUCACGCACGAACCAAAAAAUGUUCCAAGAGAUUCAAACUGAUAUGGGAAGCCAGAUAGGUACCAGGUAUGGAUGCAGAGGAAACUUGAAGAUUCUCUCGGUCACAGGGUAACCCGAAGAGCAGAAGAUCAUAAGAGCAGAAGAACAGCGGAGAAGGUUGAAGGGCAGCAGUCCAGCGGAAUGAAGAGUGUAUUAUAUUAUGUUGCAGGGCGGUGUCGUCUUACCGGAGCUGCCACUUACAAAGCCGCUUGCGGUCGGUUGUCCUCAGCGGAACGGGAUGGAACGAACUGGAACGGACACUAGCCGGGCACUGGGCAGACACUUUAGUGACACGGUCAUCGAAUGCAAAAAUCUCCAGGACUCGAUAUUGCGAAGACACCCACACACCCCGAUGGCUUCACGCUGCAACGGGCAAGUAGUCUACUCCAGGUCCGAUAGCUCGUGGACAAGACGCCAUAAUCAUUUUCAUGCUCCUCCUUGAUCAUUCACGCAGAUGCAAUUUCUAUGCCUUAGCAUCCUAGCCAUUCGCCUGACCUGGGUCUGGUGAAGCCUCUGUUGAAAGACACUGCUGCCGUCUUAAAAUGGAUCACUAGUGUAGUUGCGCGGAUAAUGCUUAAAUUAUCUGAACCAAGAAGAUGGUUAUUAGGUUAUGUUGAUGGUCGCCACUGGACAGAAUUGCUGCGCCGAUGGAUGUUUUAUUCAGGAAAUGCAUUGAGUGUACCGCAGCAAGGUAUCCUAUUGUCUAAACAUCGAAUGGACUUUAACGAGACACUAAUAGUGUCGUAAAGAUUUACCAAGGAGAGUAAAGAUUUCGAAUCACUGCAUUAAUCUAUCUGGGAUAUACUAGGUGUACUGGCAUUCGAAGAAUACGUGGAAAACGUCACGUAAUCCGGAAGCUAGGACGGAAGAUGCUGUGCACGAGUCCAGGAAAUAUUUUGACUUGGUACUGUUACCCGUUAGAAAACACAAAGAACCUUGCCUGCCUAAUAAUUCGCGCACCCGUAUAGUAUCUUAAAAGUUCCAUGGCUCGUUAGACAACGAUAUUUCGAGAAGCCAAUUGUUGCGUUGUUAUCACCAGGGGGAUGAUGGUGAGGUCCGCUGGCCAGAUAAAUUUAGUUUAAUUGAUUGUUAAGGUGUUAUCACUAAGGGAAGGUUACAUAGCAACCCCUGAUUUCAAGGGUAUAAAAAGCCGCGAAAUCAGGGUAAUUUCAAUCAGUCUUGCCCCGACUGACCGACCAGUAACUGGUGAGUAGCAGAAGUGGUCUGACGCUCGGUUCUUAGCCCGCGCAUGACAAGAGCUCGAAGCAGUCGUAAAAGACGGAAGGCAAACGCGGCCCGACGCCGAGGAGUAGUCACCAAGUCCUACGGAUUAAAGGCCUUGGACAUAGCGCCAGUCGAGUCCGUCUGGAGGACUCGCCGUCCGGACCCGCACCCUGCCGGGAAACCCACCUUUGCCCCAGUCUGCGAGGUCGCCGACACGCGGCCAUUUUGGCGGUACCACCGUAUGACCGUUCAGAGGACACCAAUCCCGGCGGUCAUUAGCCCACUACCUUCGACCCCCAGAAGACCAGACGUGAAGGGUAAACUCCGAAGGCGCUCUGAACGCGUAAAACGGCGGUUAAUAGAACUGUUCAGCACCCCGUAACUUUGUAAAGCAAUAAAAAAACGCUGGACAACCUCAGAAUUGUUCUCAACUAAAUGAUCUCUUUUAUUGAGCGUUAACAGUACAACUCUCUUGUUCAAAAUCGAGCUGCGCAAAGACACUGAUGCCCAACACGGUUGAGUUAGAGGCAGCCAAUAAUAGUGCGAGGCAUUCGCAGUGGGUCCAUAGACGCCCCACUGUACGAACACGCACGGAUGGCCGAGAGUGGAGUGAGAGGGUGCCAGAGAAAAACACAUUCUCGCAUGCCGCCGCUACGAGUCACGGUGACCACAGCAGUAACGCUCGUGCCACUUCCCGGCCUGCCUAUUUUCUUUUACUACCAAACGAAUCGGCCUAUUUGCGACCGAUAGAAAUUUGAGAAGCGAUCCACUUAGCCGCCCACUAUCGCCCUUGUCGAAUAAGCAAGGUAUAGCCAAUAUGUAUGGGUCACUUAUCGGAUUAUCAGACGACUGCAGGGUCCUGGAUUAUAAGCGAAGCCAAGGGGAGAUUCCGAGAGAAAAAGAAGCUUCGGAAUACCUAGAAGCCAUAUCAACUGAUCGGCUGUUAAGAAAGAUCCGGGAAUUAAGUAGCAGAGACCAAAAAGAAGCACAGACUGCAUGCAAUGGGAGGAAUCUGGAAUGUUGGAAUGUUGGAAUGCAAGAAUGCAAGACACAGUACUUAGACUGUGCACUGUAGAUUGAGCUGACAGUAUCUGCAUUGGACUCUGACCCCUCCACUCCAAUCUUCACGGAAUGCACGCGCUCUGCACUCGUACUAUGUACUAUUUACAUCGGACGUUAAUCCACCGAGAAGCGAAGCACUACUGCCAAGUGUUCCCAGCCAUUGGUGCAGCUAGGAGUCACUGCAACUACACGCUGCAUAUUUUACGGCGCCUGUUCUAAUCAUCACCAGCCGCCCUGGCAUCAGUCGAUACCUUCAGUGCCUCCGACCGUGCGUCUCGAGAUUACGUAUUCACCCUUGAGCAAGCACAGUCGUUUCGUGAAAUUUCACAGAACAUGAUUCGGACGAGGAAGAAUUUAGCCUAGAGCGAAGAUACAUACAAAUGAUGAUCCCAGGCAUGAUGAUUUCUUGCGACAAUAUAACAUUUACGAAAUCCCUAAUUAACUGGAGUUGAUGACCUCCCGGCGGGAUGGCACCAGUUUCUACAUACAUGAGCGUCGACGAUUUGCCGACAGUUAGGAAUUACCAAAAAGGGAAGCGAUAAUGAGAAUGGUCGUUAAGGCUGUCGCACGUCACCAAGGGGUCGCAAGGUCGCAGAGUUACUUUCACGAGUUUUACGUAUGUCGCGAGAACAAAAUUGUCAAGUAUCGCUGUUAAAACGCAUCUUUUAGUUCGUUGACCGAUUACUCUCUCCCUUUCUCUUCUUUUGUCUCGUUUUCAGCCCCCUCUGAUUUGGCUCCCAAAGGAAAACACCGGAGAAGGAGCACAAGGAUCUUCCAUCGUUUUGCAAAUUCUGGUAUAAACCACUUCUAUGGAGCUUUUGAUCUCGAUGCAAAAUUAGUACUCUAAAUUACUGGAUUAUCUAGGAAAAGUCCAUUAAUCGUGACGAUGUAUCAAUUGCAAGCACCAACGACGAUAUACUAAAACGCUUAGUGUCCGAAAACCUGGCUACGUUAACGUCCUCCAUGAGAUAUUUCAGCGAUCCCUUCAGCCGGAUCCCUACCCUUACGCAACCGCACUGAGCCGCGGGCCGUCAUCGUGAAAUGCCUAAUGGCGUCAUGUGUCUUCAUAACGUCAAGAAACGCGAGAAAUCGAGCUCAUUCUUUUGCUCGUGUGAUACGUAAAUUGGCCUGAAAAUAGUAGACCGGAGUCGACACGUGGUGCUCGGGAGUACGAGCAGACUCACCGCGUCCUCAAUGGGAUAACAAUGCCCGGAAGUAGAUAGCCAUCUGAUGGUGUGGAUCUGCACCCAGCGAAGAGGCUGUCGAUCGUGCUCUGGGGUAGUUGUCGGUAGGUGGUAGGUGGCAAGGAAGGUACGGGGUGCAUGGAUGAUAGAAUUCGACGUGGAUUCCAGUGCGGGACGGAAAUAGAGGGGUCGCGCAUCGAGAAUACCACUGCGCACCGCAUGCCGUUCGUUACUAUAGAAGCCAGAACGUGGCUAGGACGAGCAGAAGAGCUACUAGAGCCUCGAAGAAGACGCAAAUACUGCAGCCUCUCGACCGCGCGACCAGCUUGCUCACUUCGGGGUGACUAACUCCUGGGGAUCGCGGGACUUCAGCUGAGACAGUUACGACAUUUGAAGAUCCGACCCAAGACGCAUUGUCAAUGCAGACCAAGGCUGAGAUCUUUCAUUAAAGGAAUCUACCAAUUCCACAUUCUUCUCCUGCACUCAGAUUGACCUUUAUACCUGAGACGUCAUACUCGAGUAUGGCUCCGAAGGUAGUCGAAUCAAGUAAGACCUGUGAAGAUGCAUAAUCAGUACCUGGAUCUUUAUUAUCCUGCAAAGCCUGAUGGACCCCUCAUAACUCGAGGCAGGAGUAACGUGACUUCCUCGAAAGCGAAAUUCUCCAGGAAGAAACGAAUACUCGUUAUAAGUACUUUCUUCGCUUUCUUUUAAUUCGAAAAUCAAUGCACAACUACACAAUCUACAUUCUCACUGUCGGCUUGCCUAAUGUUGCGCGUCUUACGCUUACACGGCUCAUUUCCGGUUAUAUGAAUGCGUUUAAAUUUUCUUUUUUUUUUCCUUUCUCAGUCACUAUUCUUGAGUCCAUGAUCGUUGAUGGAUGCGUCAUUCGCUUAAUUUCAUAUCUAAAAAUGCAUUUUAUUAUUAUCAAGUGGUUUAAUGGUGGACGAGAGGGGGAAGAGGGAGAUACCCAAACUCAUUAGCACAUGUAUUCGAAUUCUUGGCCACGUUCGUCUUGUCAUCAGGUCUGCUGACUGUAGCUUUUUUUUUUUAUUCAAAUCCUUGUCCCCCUUGUUCCGAAUUCCUUUACGAAAAUAUCCACUUCCACGUACAAUUAUCGCCGUCUUCUCGCGUCUUGUAUCUUGUACCGAAAUAGCGACUCUAUCAAAGAGUCGAAAUAAUAAUAGGAAAGCGGAGCACUCAAGGUAUCGGUAUUCUAAUCGAAAACACUCGAAAGACUAAAUAUGCAAUGGAAAGCGAAUAACUUGGAAUGGAUGAAUAUUAUAAUUCUUACUUUCUUGGUAGGCUCGAGUCGAAUUCGAUUUGGCCUAUAAACUGUUAUAAUUUUAUAGGGAUAUUUUACAUCUUUAUAUUCGCCAGUGUUUCCCAUUACUUAGUAAAGCCGAUGUGGAUCGUUAAGAUCGAUCGCUAAAGAUCCACCAAGCAAUCCUUCCACAUAGCAGAACAAUCUAAUCGUAAAAUCUAUCUAUCCAAAGUUUCCUUUCAUGUACAUACACGGCGUUGCUUUGCAAUGCAAUUUCCGGCAUUGGAUUUAUGGGCCGUCACGAUUCCCCGAGGCGCACAUGCAUAUCGGCUUAAUGUUACGCCUUCGAUAGGUCUGAUUGUCUAAUUUGUAAAACUGAUUUAUUAAAAUUUUCUUUUCUUUUUCUAACCCAAA